rnacentral:rRNA from 1 species
CGCGGCCUAUCAGCUUGUUGGUGAGGUAACGGCUCACCAAGGCAUCGACGGGUAGCUGGUCUGAGAGGACGGUCAGCCACACUGGGACUGAGACACGGCCCAGACUCCUACGGGAGGCAGCAGUGGGGAAUCUUGCGCAAUGGGCGAAAGCCUGACGCAGCCACGCCGCGUGAGGGAUGAAGGCUUUCGGGUUGUAAACCUCUUUCAGCAGGGACGGAAAUGACGGUACCUGCAGAAGAAGGUCCGGCCAACUACGUGCCAGCAGCCGCGGUAACACGUAGGGACCAAGCGUUGUCCGGAUUUAUUGGGCGUAAAGAGCUCGUAGGCAGUUCAGUAAGUCAGGUGUGAAAGUCCAAGGCUCAACCUUGGAACGCCACUUGAUACUGCUGUGACUGGAGUCCGGUAGAGGAGUGUGGAAUUCCUGGUGUAGCGGUGAAAUGCGCAGAUAUCAGGAGGAACACCGACGGCGAAGGCAGCACUCUGGGCCGGUACUGACGCUGAGGAGCGAAAGCAUGGGGAGCGAACAGGAUUAGAUACCCUGGUAGUCCAUGCCGUAAACGUUGGGCACUAGGUGUGGGACCUUAUCAACGGGUUCCGUGCCGUAGCUAACGCAUUAAGUGCCCCGCCUGGGGAGUACGG